CAGCUGAUGGUUAUGCUGAGGAAAGCAGUGCCCUGCAGCAGCUGGCAUUCAUCUGAAUUGGUUCUCCUUCUUGCUGGAGUCCAGACAGUGUUGAGCAGCCCAAGAGAUGCUGCUGGGCAAGGGGACGUCUAGGCGCCAGGCUGUGUUUCCGCUGCUGCUGCUCGUAGCAAGGAGUCUCUAAACAUAGUGGUGAAGGAACUGGGAAGGAGCCUGGAUUUGGAAUUCCAGCUGGCAGAUGGUCAAGCAAGACAAUGCUUGCAGGAACCCCCAAAUCUCCUUCCUAGUGCGGCUUCAGUGUCCUCCCAGUUACUACCAGUAUCCCAAACUUCCUGGUGCUACCGGGAUCUGCACAAGGCUGCCCUGAGAGGUGGUGGAGUCACCGUGCCUGGAGGUGUUCAAGCAGAGAGAUUGAGGUACAGUGGCAGCACGUUUGCAGAUGGCCCCAAGCCGAGUGGUGCUGUGGAGAAAGCAGAGGGACAGGAUGGCAUCCAGAAAACACCUGGGCAGGCAGGAGAGCUGGG